rnacentral:rRNA from 1 species
GACGAACGCUGGCGGCGUGCUUAACACAUGCAAGUCGAGCGGUAAGGCCCUUCGGGUACACGAGCGGCGAACGGGUGAGUAACACGUGGGUGACCUGCCUCUAGCUCUGGGAUAAGCCUGGGAAACUGGGUCUAAUACCGGAUAUGACUCCACGGCGCAUGUUGUGGGGUGGAAAGCCUUGUGUGGCUAGAGAUGGGCCCGCGGCCUAUCAGCUUGUUGGUGGGGNGAUGGCCUACCAAGGCGACGACGGGUAGCCGGCCUGAGAGGGCGACCGGGCCACACUGGGACUGAGACACGGCCCAGACUCCUACGGGAGGCAGCAGUGGGGAAUCUUGCGCAAUGGGCGAAAGCCUGACGCAGCGACGCCGCGUGAGGGAUGACGGCCUGG